rnacentral:misc_RNA from 1 species
AAGUCGUAACAAGGUUUCCGUAGGUGAACCUGCGGAAGGAUCAUUAAAAGGAUCAUCAGGCGUCUGGCAGCCCUCGUGGCUGCCCGUCCUUGUGCCCUCGGGUGCAAAGCCUAUAAUGGAUCGCGCGCUGUUGCAAAGUAAGCACCUCACCGUGCCGAACGCAGGCCAGGGGACCAGGUCCCACAGGCGCAGUCUUCGUGCUGCCGGCGGGCUGCUCUAACCCUCUGUUUAUGAAACCUUUGUAGCUUCCUCGGCGGGCUUGCCCGCCGCUAGGAACCAACCAUAACCUUUUGCAUUAGCAUCUAAACUUCUGAUACAAAACUUAAUUAUUACAAC